UACAGAGGUCUCAACCGUUGUUCGGAUUCAUUGGGCGUAAAGGGUGCGUAGGCGGUCGCGCAAGUCGGAUGUGAAAUCUCAGGGCUCAACCCUGAAACUGCAUUCGAUACUGCGUGGCUAGAGUGCUGGAGAGGAGACUGGAAUUUACGGUGUAGCAGUGAAAUGCGUAGAUAUCGUAAGGAACACCGGUGGCGAAGGCGGUUCUCUGGGCCUGUACUGACGCUGAGGAGCGAAAGCGUGGGGAGCGAACAGG
rnacentral:rRNA from 1 species